UGGGGAAUAUUGGGCAAUGGGCGCAAGCCUGACCCAGCAACGCCGCGUGAAGGAAGAAGGCCCUCGGGUUGUAAACUUCUUUUGUCAGGGACGAAGAAAGUGACGGUACCUGACGAAUAAGCCACGGCUAACUACGUGCCAGCAGCCGCGGUAAUACGUAGGUGGCAAGCGUUAUCCGGAUUUACUGGGUGUAAAGGGCGUGUAGGCGGGACUGCAAGUCAGAUGUGAAAUUCCAGGGCUCAACUCUGGAACUGCAUUUGAAACUGUAGUUCUUGAGUGAUGGAGAGGCAGGCGGAAUUCCGU
rnacentral:rRNA from 1 species